ensembl:lncRNA
GCAGCAUCUGUUCUUUGCCCAGAGGGUAGGAGUGAAAGACUAGAUAUCCUGCUCCUCCAGCGAUGACACCUUCUGCACCUGUGCGGAGACAGGUGUUUGAAACGUGGCUUCCCCGACGACGAGAGAGGGAGUUUAAGCGAGGAGAUGGGAGAUUGUGGAUCUCGGAGAAGGAGGUGAUUCAUCACCUGGUAUUGAGGGUAAUGAGCGAGGCGUGGAGGUGAACACAUUAAACCAAGCUGACUUUGCCCAGCCCAGCCAGGAGGGAUGAUAGAGACAGUACAGGAACAGAGGGGUAGCGUCCAGGACCAAACCAGACCCUCUCCACAUCCCUUCCAACUCCUCCAUGGUGGCCCCACACCUGUCCAACACUGGGAGGCGAUUUUUACACAACAACGACACUAGAACAGAAUGCGCUCCAGCUCAAGCUGAAUCUACAGUAAAGGAGAGGUCUACCUUUCUCCACUUUCAAGAGCACAAUAGUAUUACAAUGGAAGACAACUGACGGCUGUUUACCUUGAUGCUCAGCAGUGUUUUUGUU